UGAUAUGUGUUUGGGGGUAAUGAGACUUGGUGAUGUGUUGACUUGUACAUAUUGAUUAUUUUCUAAUGAUGAAAAAGGGGUAAUAAAAGGCAAUGUGUUUAAUUGUUGAUGUGUGAUGUUUGAGACUGGGUUGAAAGGCUUGUUGAAUCAUUGUUGAUGUUGUAUCACGGUUGUAUGUUGGAAUUGUGUAUUGUUAUGAAAAUGGUCAUCUCCUCAUUAUUUGUGUGAACAUGUCAUUUGCAUUGGUUCUGAGACAUGGUUGUGAUAAGUGUUAUGUGAUAAGAGGAUGUACCAUUUCGAGGGACGUAUCGCGCGCCGCGAUGGAUACUAUAUUUCGAGGGA
rnacentral:lncRNA from 1 species